GGGGGUGUGGCUCAGUGGUAGAGUGCUUGCCUAGCAUGCACGAGAGGCACUGAGUUCGAUCCUUAGCACCACAU
rfam:Ictidomys tridecemlineatus contig056943, whole genome shotgun sequence.